GACCCCUCUGGUGGUCUAGUGGUAAGAAUGUCUGCCUCAGAUGCUGGAGGUCAUGGGUUCAAACCCCAGCUGAGUCA